UACGUAGGGUGCGAGCGUUAAUCGGAAUUACUGGGCGUAAAGCGUGCGCAGGCGGUUCGUUAUGUCCGUUGUGAAAGCCCCGGGCUCAACCUGGGAAUGGCAAUGGAAACUGUCGGGCUAGAGUGUGGCAGAGGGGGGUGGAAUUCCGCGUGUAGCAGUGAAAUGCGUAGAGAUGCGGAGGAACACCGAUGGCGAAGGCAGCCCCCUGGGCUGACACUGACGCUCAGGCACGAAAGCGUGGGGAGCAAACAGG
rnacentral:rRNA from 1 species